ensembl:misc_RNA Metazoa_SRP Metazoan signal recognition particle RNA
ACCGGGUGCAGUGGUGUGGGCCUGCAGUUCCAGCUACUCAAGAGGCUGAAGUAAGAUGAUCGCUGGAGCCGAGGGGUUCUGGGCUGUACUGCGCUAUGCUGAUCAGGUGCCCGCACUAAGUUCGCCAACAACAUGAUGACCUCCCAGGUGGAAAAUGGAGCAGGUGAAAACUCCCGUGCUGAUCAGUUGUGGGAUCGUGCCUGUGAGUAACUGCUGCACUCCAACCUGGGCAACAUAGCAAGACCUCAUCUCUA